CUUUCAGAAAGAGAUAUAUCAUAACUGGCCAAAAUGCAGAAAAGGAAUGCCCAGGCUAUGAGCACUGCUCAGUGGGAUAUCUGUAUGGAUAUUCACCCACCCCCACCCCAAGGCUGGGGAACAGCCUGAAGAGAGGGCGGCAGGGCGAUGCAAAGGCAUCCUGGUCGUGACAUGGUCACAGGCACUCGGGAACUCCCUGCAGCUAUAAGAGCAAGCCAACAAGGCAGAAAAGGAUCCAGAACAGGGUGAGCUGUGAGAUGCAGGGACCAAAGCCAUCUAGAGGGAAGGACCACCUGUGGCCUCCGGAGGAGAGGGGGGCGGGGCGAGAAAAGAAAAACAAACCAGCCAGUCAGAGCGACCUGGAGGCCGACUGGAACCGGGCUAGCAACUCAAACCUUCUGCACCAAAUGCCCGAACAAUGGCCCCUAUUUAUGCACAGCUCCAAAGGCUCCUUGCAUCAGAAGGCACCUUCGAGAAUAAACCGGCAGCUAAUUCUCCUGGUAGCAGAAAUCCACUCUCACGG
ensembl:antisense Gm11713 predicted gene 11713